GCCUCGGUGGUGUAGUGGUAGUAGCACGCGUUCCCGGUACGGAUGGAUUGCCUGUUCUAUUCCCGUCUGAGGCC